UGCCAGCCGCCGCGGUAAUACAGAGGGUGCAAACGUUGCUCGGAAUCACUGGGCGUAAAGCGCGCGCAGGCGGGUUAUCAAGUCAUGUGUGAAAGCUCCCGGCUAAACUGGGAGAGGUCAGAUGAUACUGAUAGCCUGGAGUGCAUCAGAGGUAAGUGGAAUUCCGCGUGUAGUGGUGAAAUGCGUAGAUAUGCGGAGGAACACCAGUGGCGAAGGCGGCUUACUGGGAUGCAACUGACGCUGAGGCGCGAAAGCAUGGGUAGCGAACGGGAUUAGAUA
rnacentral:rRNA from 1 species